rnacentral:rRNA from 1 species
AACGAACGCUGGCGGCAUGCCUUACACAUGCAAGUCGAACGGUAACAGGUUAAGCUGACGAGUGGCGAACGGGUGAGUAAUAUAUCGGAACGUGCCCAGUCGUGGGGGAUAACGCAGCGAAAGCUGUGCUAAUACCGCAUACGAUCUACGGAUGAAAGCGGGGGAUCGCAAGACCUCGCGCGAUUGGAGCGGCCGAUAUCAGAUUAGCUAGUUGGUGAGGUAAAGGCUCACCAAGGCGACGAUCUGUAGCUGGUCUGAGAGGACGACCAGCCACACUGGAACUGAGACACGGUCCAGACUCCUACGGGAGGCAGCAGUGGGGAAUUUUGGACAAUGGGCGCAAGCCUGAUCCAGCAAUGCCGCGUGCAGGAUGAAGGCCUUCGGGUUGUAAACUGCUUUUGUACGGAACGAAACGGCGAGCUCUAAUACAGUUUGCUAAUGACGGUACCGUAAGAAUAAGCACCGGCUAACUACGUGCCAGCCGCCGCGGUAA